UGCACCUACUCAAGUACAACGAGAUACUGCGUCUACUCGAGUACAACGAAAUACUGCGAAAGCUUUUAGAAGAUUAAAAUAGGAGUCAAGUAACGGCAUUCUUUUUAUACAGUUGCUCAUGAAGGUAUUCAUAUUCUUGCAGAAGACACCUUUUAUGAAUAUACUAUAUGUCUUGAAAGAAACAUUUUGAAAUGUCAUUAGUAUUGUAACAAAAUCCGAUUGUCAUAGCUAUAUUGGUAAAGUUUUUAGCAAAUCUGAAAAUAUACAUAGAUAUUACAAAACACCUAACACAAGUAUGCAGAUAUUUUGUAGAAAUCAAUAAAGUAUUUAAACAGUCAUUUAACAUUUCAUCAAACAUUUUCCAUAUGUAUGAAAUAAGCCUAAAUAUUUACUGGAACCACUUUUGAGAUUUUUUCUAGGCAUACCAAGGAGGCUAUUAAUGCUGUGUGCUAAUCUUUAUUAAAUAUAUGUUUGUAAAUAACUUUUAUGUAUAUUUUCAGAUUGGUUUUUGGCUUUUCUAUCAUAAAAAUAGUAGUUGCAAAAUACUUUUAUGAUCCAUUGUAUCUAUUUCAUACAAUCGUGAGAAAACAAGUCGAAGACGCUUCGUUUUCGAAGAAAAAAGAAAAAAGAAAAAAGAAAAAUGAAACGAUUUUGAACAUUUUCUCGAUGCUGCUAUACGCACAUACUCUUUAUGAUAUAUCAAUUCUUGGAUCAAUAACGAACUUUCAUUAUUGAUGAGCUGCUGCUAGUGGAUGAGGAAACUUAAUAAAAUAUCGAAUGUCUGCAAUUUAUUGAGAAUAACGAGUUUAUGUGGGUAACAGAUAUAUCCUUUCAUUAAACAUAGGUCUUAUAUAACUCGUUUAUAGUUGAGAAGGAAAAUACUAAUCAGUACUAAUUAAAUUCAUGAAUUAAUAACUUUUUUUUUGUAACGAAAGAAAUGUUGCGAUGCAUAAUGUACAAUGUAUUGAAUUUGCUUCAUACAUUUAAUUGAUUCUGAACAAUUAUCUUUGCUUCAUUAUUUUUGAAUAAAUUCAGUAUUUACAACUUAAUAAUUGUAAUAAAAUUAUAUCAUUCAGAUAAUAAGAAAACGCUUAAUAAUAAUUAUUACGAUGCAAAAAAAAAAUAAUAAGUAUAUCUAUAACGAGAGAAAAUAUUAACAACAAUUGAUAUACAAAUAAUAAGUUUGUGUUUGAAAGUAACUUAUUGGCAAAUUGAUAAUGUAUCUUUCAACAUAGAAAUCUUGCAAGUUGUAAAACGUAGAAGGACGAGUUAAGUGUUCUGAGACCUUAUUAAAUCUGUUGCAACUGUGCAUAGCUAUUUGCAAAUCAAGAUGUGUAGAUGUUCGAGAUGCCGAAGCACUGUUCGUUAUGAAUAACACGCAGCGUAGUUGCACCUGUUACAUCUCUGUCGAGCACAAUUAUAUUAGUUCCUUUCGUAAUCUACCUGAAUAUACUACCUCCCUUCUCGCUAAUAAUACGGAAAUUGCAGAGAAUGGUAUAACGCAAUACAUUGUGUUUUUUAACUAAAGAUGAAACAAGCAUAAUUGUGGAUUAUGACAUUUUGCUCGAUUUUCUGAUUUUAAUGUCACUUGAUGAUAAAAGUAGGUGUGACAUUUUAAUAUAUAUAUACAUAUAUGUCGGAGAUGAAAGGACAUUGGAGUUUUUCUUUUGAAAUGUUUGGAAAGGUCCCCGAUACUUUAGUCCAGUUUUUUUUUAUUAUUAUUAUAGCUGUAUUUAAAUAAUAAAGCUGAGAAAUAAUUAUUUAUGAUUUAAUCCGAAUAUGGAUGCCCUAGAUUUAUGGGUGCCCUAGAUUUAUGGGUGCCCUAGAUUUAUGGAUGCCCUAGAUUAAUGGGACGCGGUCACGGUCAGGGCAAGGACGUGUACUUAAUAGAGGUAUGAAGUAAAUGAAUAGCUCUCUUUAAAAACAAAGAUUGAUCCGAGGGGUACAGAGAGGUACGGAGAGGAGUAUAUAAGUUUUACAUUACACGAUAUAUGGUGUGUGUGUGUGUGUGUGUGUGUGUGUGUGUGUGUGUGUGUGUGUGUGUGUGUGUGUGUGUGUGUGUGUGUGUGUGUGUGUGUACACGUGUGUAUAUCGUGUAAUGUAAUGGGGGAGAGUAUAGUGCUAGUAGGUUUUAAUAU